rnacentral:rRNA from 1 species
UACGUAGGGUGCGAGCGUUGUCCGGAAUUAUUGGGCGUAAAGAGCUCGUAGGCGGUGUGUCGCGUCGGUCGUGAAAACUUGGGGCUUAACCCUGAGCUUGCGGUCGAUACGGGCAUCACUGGAGUUCGGCAGGGGAGACUGGAAUUCCUGGUGUAGCGGUGAAAUGCGCAGAUAUCAGGAGGAACACCAGCGGCGAAGGCGGCGCUCUGGGCCGGUACUGACGCUGAGACGCGAAAGCGUGGGGAGCGAACAGG